GCCUUUGCACUGUGGGCAUAGGGCAAAGCUACCUGAAGCUGCCAGAGCUUAUGUGUUGAUUUGGGGAAGCCUAGUAGUGAGUCUGGAUCUUUUUUUGGCCAGAAAUCUGUAACAAUGUGUUAGAUAAAUCUUAAGUGGACAUCUGUAAUCAAGCUUAUUUGGUAGAAGUUAGAGCCUAAUUAAAAUGUAAGAAGCAAAGGGGCUACCAGCCUCAGAGCAGCAUGUAUUGACAACUUAGGGAUGCACUGGCUUUUGAAAAUAAACAGGAGUUAACCACCUUGAAGGAGAAGUCACAGCAUCCGGGAAGCUCCAAGCACCAGCUUCAUUCUGUCCUGUCUUUCCAUGUGGACUGGGGACAGGAAAACCACUGGCCAAGGUGAAAUGAACAGCAAAAACUUCCAUUGACAUCAGUGGGUCCUGGACUCCUGGCGUUCUUUGUUUGUUUGGGGAAAAAGCCCAAACUUGGCUGAAAUUAAUGGAGUUGGUCUGCUUUGACCUGGCAUAAGGAGGAUCCUCGGCUACCUUCAGCUCUACAACACUUGUCCUGCCAGCCAAGAGUGGCCUUGGUCAGACUGAAAAGAGAUGGUGCAGUUGGACCAGCAGAUGCACAGAGCAAUGAGCCAGUCUUGGACCAUCUCCUGACAGUGCCUUCACUGCAGAAAUCACUUCAGAGCUGAUCGAGGCUGGUCUAGGAUGCAGCUCUGUCAUUAGUGCAGUCACUGAAAGCCUUGCUGAUGUGAAUCAGGCUGAGAGCUGUGGGAAGGAAGGGUCAUCUCAUGAUAACCAGUGCACAGAGAUCUGUCAGCCUGGUCACAGCUCUGGAGGCUUGUGAGACAUCAUCUCUUAUGGCAUUUGUGGA